CCUACGGGAGGCAGCAGUAGGGAAUAUUCGGCAAUGGAGGAAACUCUGACCGAGCAACGCCGCGUGAAUGAUGAAGGUCUUCGGAAUGUAAAGUUCUUUUAUCAGGGAAGAAGGAAGUGUCGGUAGCUACGUGAUGAGUAUCCGCGAACUACGUGCCAGCAGCCCGUGGAAUACGUAGGAGGGGAGCGUUAUUCGGAAGGACUGGGCGGAAAGGGUGCGUAGGUGGUUUGGGAAGUUAGUCGUGAAACUCGAAGGGUCAAACUUAGAAGUACAACUAAAACUGUUGCACUUGAGUGCAGGAGAGGCAAGCGGAACUCCAAGUGUAGCGGUAGAAUGCGUAGAUAUAAGGAAGAACACCAGUGGCGAAGGCGGGUUGCUAGACUGUAACUGACACUGAGGCACGAAAGCGUGGGGAGCAAACAGGAUUAGAUACCCCGGUAGUC
rnacentral:rRNA from 1 species